CCUACGGGAGGCAGCAGUGAGGAAUAUUGGUCAAUGGGCGAGAGCCUGAACCAGCCAAGUCGCGUGAAGGAUGACGGCCCUACGGGUUGUAAACUUCUUUUGUCAGGGAGCAAUUGGGUCCACGCGUGGGCUUAGCGAGAGUACCUGAAGAAAAAGCACCGGCUAACCCCGUGCCAGCAGCCGCGGUAAUACGGAGGAUGCGAGCGUUAUCCGGAUUUAUGGGGUUUAAAGGGUGUGUAGGCGGAAUAUCAAGUCAGCGGUAAAAAUUCGGGGCUAAACCCCGUCGUGCCGUUGAAACUGAUGUUCUUGAGUGGGCGAGAGGUAUGCGGAAUGCGUGGUGUAGCGGUGAAAUGCAUAGAUAUCACGCAGAACUCCGAUUGCGAAGGCAGCAUACCGGCGCCCAACUGACGCUGAAGCACGAAAGUGUGGGUAUCAAACAGGAUUAGAUACCCGGGUAGUC
rnacentral:rRNA from 1 species